GCAUGGUUGUCGUCAGCUCGUGUCGUGAGAUGUUGGGUUAAGUCCCGCAACGAGCGCAACCCUUGAUUUUAGUUGCCAGCAUUUAGUUGGGCACUCUAAAGUGACUGCCGGUGCAAGCCGGAGGAAGGUGGGGAUGACGUCAAAUCAUCAUGCCCCUUAUGACCUGGGCUACACACGUGCUACAAUGGAUAGUACAAAGGGUCGCGAAGCCGCGAGGUGGAGCUAAUCCCAUAAAACUAUUCUCAGUUCGGAUUGUAGGCUGCAACUCGCCUACAUGAAGCCGGAAUCGCUAGUAAUCGUGGAUCAGCAUGCCACGGUGAAUACGUUCCCGGGCCUUGUACACACCGCCCGUCACACCACGAGAGUUUGUAACACCCGAAGUCGGUAGGGUAACCUUUAUGGAGCCAGCCGCCGAAGGUGGGACAGAUAAUUGGGGUGAAGUCGUAACAAGGUAGCCGUAUCGGAAGGUGCGGCUGGAUCACCUCCUUUCUAAGGAA
rnacentral:rRNA from 1 species